UACGAGGGGGGCAAGCGUUGUUCGGAAUUAUUGGGCGUAAAGGGCACGUAGGCGGUUUGACAAGUCUGAUGUGAAAUCUCUGGGCUCGACCCAGAGUCUGCAUUAGAAACUGUCGGGCUUGAGUAUGGGAGAGGUGAGUGGAAUUUCCGGUGUAGCGGUGAAAUGCGUAGAUAUCGGAAGGAACACCUGUGGCGAAAGCGGCUCACUGGACCAUAACUGACGCUGAGGCGCGAAAGCUAGGGGAGCAAACAGG
rnacentral:rRNA from 1 species